GCCGAGAUAGCUUAGUGGUAGAGCACCUCCUUGGUAAGGAGGAGGUUGUGGGUUCAAUCCCCACUCUCGGCU
rnacentral:tRNA from 1 species